GUUCUCAUCUUUCCAAGCCUCUUGUCCAAAUCUUACACAAAAAACUAUUCAAUACAUUAUAUUAGACAAUUGCUAUAAAUAUGACUGUUUCAUUCCAUAGACUAUCUCUGCAUCUUAGAGUAUUAUUUUACCAUGCUAGGUCCUUUGACAUUUGUAUCUGAUGGUGUUGGUUUCCCACUUGGAUUCUCUUUAUUGACUUGGCACUUCUAUGUCCCAAUUUCUGUGUGGUUUAGCUACCAAAAGUUCACACAUCACCCUUUCUGGGAUAGUAGCCCACGGCUGAAGUUAUUACCAUUCUUGAAUGGUCUAAAAGGUUGUGCCUGUUGUGCCCAGAUCGCGAAGUCCCCAAAGACCACCAAGGAGCCGAUUCGGAUGUAAGCACACGAGGGUCAUUUAUUCAAGCUCAAGCAGGGGCACUCAACCGUCACCGAUGCAGCGGAUCAGGAUUGAGAGCCCCUGCUCGAGCUUGAAUAAACGACCCUCCUGUGUUUACAUCGGAAUCGGCUCCUUGGUGGUCUUUGGGGAAUUUGCAAUCUGGGCACAACAUUUGGGGGCUCGUCGGGGAUCCCCAAGACCCUCAGGAUUCCCGUACCGGAGGGUCGACGCCGGCUGGUUGAGCAAGUACAGAUGUUAUCAUAGGUAUCACUUCAGCAUCUGUCAAGAGACCUACAUCAUCAUCACAUCCUGGUUCAGUAUAAGGGACUGUCAGGAGUUACUCAACUGA
rnacentral:lncRNA from 1 species